rnacentral:lncRNA from 1 species
GGAAAAUUACAUUCUCGUGUGCUCAAGGAAGCUGAGGAGAGCCUGGCACGUGCUGGAGCUUCUCCUCUCUUUGUCAAUUUCUCCGUGACAGCUACAGAGUCAGAGAUCACACUUCAAUUAUGUACCCAGCAGUGUUGAUUCACAACAAAUGCUUAUGAAUGACUUGGAAGUAGAAAUUCUGUGAAUGAACA